rnacentral:rRNA from 1 species
GACGAACGCUGGCGGCGUGCUUAACACAUGCAAGUCGAACGGAAAGGCCCUGCUUUUGUGGGGUGCUCGAGUGGCGAACGGGUGAGUAACACGUGAGUAACCUGCCCUUGACUUUGGGAUAACUUCAGGAAACUGGGGCUAAUACCGGAUAGGAGCUCCUGCUGCAUGGUGGGGGUUGGAAAGUUUCGGCGGUUGGGGAUGGACUCGCGGCUUAUCAGCUUGUUGGUGGGGUAGUGGCUUACCAAGGCUUUGACGGGUAGCCGGCCUGAGAGGGUGACCGGCCAAAUUGGGACUGAGAUACGGCCCAGACUCCUACGGGAGGCAGCAGUGGGGAAUAUUGCGCAAUGGGCGGAAGCCUGAUGCAGCAACGCCGCGUGCGGGAUGACGGCCUUCGGGUUGUAAACCGCUUUCGACUGUGACGAAGCGUGAGUGACGGUAAUGGGUAAAGAAGCACCGGCUAACUACGUG